UACCAGCCCCCUGAGUGGUAAGGACGAUUAUUUGGCUUAAGGCGUCCGUAGCCGGCUUAGUGAGUCCCUUGUUAAAUCCAAUGAUUCAAUCAUUGAACUGCAAGGGAUACUACUAUGCUAGAGGACGGGAGAGGUCGACGGUAGUCCAAGGGUAGGGGUGAAAUCCUAUAAUCCUUGGAGGACCACCAGUGGCGAAGGCGGUCGACUAGAACGUGCCUGACGGUGAGGGACGAAAGCUGGGGGAGCGAACCGGAUUAGAUACCCGGGUAGUCCCAGCUGUAAACGAUGCGGGCUAGGUGUAGGGGCAGCUACGAGCUGCUCCUGUGCCGCAGAGAAAUUGUUAAGCCCGCCGCCUGGGGAGUACGAUCGCAAGAUCGAAACUUAAGGAAUUGGCGGGGGAGCACCACAAGGGGUGAAGGCUGCGGUUU
rnacentral:rRNA from 1 species